GUAUAGCUGGUGAAUUCUUCUUAUAACAAAUUGCUGACAGAAUUCGGAACACACAUAAAAAGAAAAAGAGGACGUCCACUCGGAUCACGCAACAAACCAAAAGGUGUGUCAUGACUCCUAAGAUAUAGUAUUUCUUUAUUCAAAAUCAUACCAUUUUAAAUUAUGAAUGUAUUUCGUAGUCCACCAGAUAUGCAAUCUACCAGCGUUCAAACCAAAGUUUUAUGAUUGUAAGUUUAAGUGAAUUAUAAUAAUAUAUUCUUUUUUUUGUAACUGAUAAAAUAAUAUAUUCUUCACGGUAUCUUUUCAUAACUAAUUGAGUUAUCAAACUUGAUCGCAUAGGUGGCUUUGAUAAGUGUGACCUUUAUGGUGUACAAUUCUUUUCAACCUAAAAACAUUAUUGUUCCUCAA